rnacentral:rRNA from 1 species
UACGGAGGGUGCGAGCGUUGUCCGGAAUCAUUGGGCGUAAAGGGCGCGUAGGCGGCUUCUCAAGCGUGCGGUGAAAGUCAGGGGCUCAACCCCUGAUCGGCCGUGCGAACUGGGGGGCUGGAGCACUGUAGAGGCAGGCGGAAUUCCGGGUGUAGCGGUGGAAUGCGUAGAGAUCCGGAAGAACACCGGUGGCGAAGGCGGCCUGCUGGACCAUAACUGACACUCAGGGACGAAAGCUAGGGGAGCGAAUGGG